GGUAGAUGAUGGAACUACAACCAAUGGAGCGCUUUCUCCAAGUAUACUUGAACUCAUUGACAUCUAAUAGGCCUUCCCAGCAAUUAUGUCUUGAGGAACCAAGGAACAGGGUUCUUGAAACUGGAAAAGCCAACAAAAGGGCUUCUGUCCAAACGUCAACUAACAUCUAGCUCUGUUUUCAGGUCAAAAGUGGCUUUCAAUUUAUUGGAAACUUGACAAACCACUAGUAAAGCUAAACUGCCUGAGAUGGAUGAGGAGUUUUCCUGCACCCAGUGUCUCCAGACACAUAGAAAACACCUAAUCAGCAUCGUCGUGCCUCCAUGAACUAAAACUACAUGUUCUUUACUGAAUAUCCAACGACCUGACUCUCUGUAAGUCAACAAAUUCGAUGUCUUGAUAAUAAAGACUUUGGGAGUUUGUUCUAAA